CCAAGGGAUCUGUGUUUUAUUCAAUAUUUGACCAAAUUCCUAGAACAGUCCCUGGCACAUAGUAGGUGAUCAGUUAAUAUAUAUUGCUGUUGUUAAAAUGAGAAAAUUGUGGAGGGUUUAACACACGUUUUGUGCUACCAGCAUGGAGAAAGAGCAUGAGAAGUUCAUAUGAAAAGGCAGGAGAAUCUUUGCUCGCUUUGACAUCACUACAUCCCAUUCUGGAAUUUUCCCCAAGGAAAAUAAUUUUUUUAAGAGCAUUUAUUCGAACACCAGUGCUAUCAAGAAGGACAUUGUAGAGUCUGAGAAAGAGAAAUCCUCCAAACUGGAAGGGUCCCUGUGGUUGUGAGGGAAGGAAAUACAGCAAUGCAUACCAGUGUGGACCUUGGGAGCUAAGUGCAGUUGGAAACAUGAUGCUUCAGCAGAUUGUAUGGAAAGAUGCUAAAGACCAAGGACCAAUGAAAUGAUAAGUUCCAUGACAAAGGACCACACCUCACCCUGUACUUCCCUACUCCUGGCAUAUUUAAUACCAUAUUAAACUUAAUAUGAGAGGACAUA